AAUAAGUUCAUUUAUACUGUUUCUAUAUUUAACGUUUGAUUGUCCGUCUUAUUUAAAAUUUUUAUUAUGGUUAAUAUUUUUAUUAUUAUUUGAUAAUAAAAUAUUAAUAAUACUUAUAUGGCUUUUACCUUUUUAAUUAUUUAAAUAAGAUUGACAGUCAGACGUUGAACCAAAGAAACUUAUAAAUGAACUUAUU
rfam:Oryza glaberrima chromosome 1 Oglab01_0048_2, whole genome shotgun sequence.